rnacentral:rRNA from 1 species
AUCCUGGCUUAGGACGAACGCUGGCGGCGUGCCUAAUACAUGCAAGUCGAACGGUCUUUCUAUGGAAGCUUGCUUCCACUGAGAAGAUAGUGGCGAACGGGUGAGUAACACGUGGGUAACCUGCCCAUAAGAGGGGGGAUAACAUCCGGAAACGGGUGCUAAUACCGCAUAGUUUUCUUGAUCGCAUGAUCGGGAAAGGAAAGACGGCCUUUGUGCUGUCGCUUAUGGAUGGACCCGCGGCGUAUUAGUUAGUUGGUGAGGUAACGGCUCACCAAGACGAUGAUACGUAGCCGACCUGAGAGGGUGAUCGGCCACAUUGGGACUGAGACACGGCCCAAACUCCUACGGGAGGCAGCAGUAGGGAAUCUUCCGCAAUGGACGAAAGUCUGACGGAGCAACGCCGCGUGAGUGAAGAAAGGUUUUCGGAUCGUAAAACUCUGUUGUCAGAGAAGAACAAGUUGGAGAGUAACUGCUCCAGCCUUGACGGUAUCUGACCAGAAAGCCACGGCUAACUACGUGCCAGCCGCCGC